AUUGAACGCUGGCGGCAUGCUUUACACAUGCAAGUCGAACGGUAACAGGCCGCAAGGUGCUGACGAGUGGCGAACGGGUGAGUAAUGCAUCGGAACGUGCCCAGUCGUGGGGGAUAACUACUCGAAAGAGUAGCUAAUACCGCAUACGAUCUAUGGAUGAAAGCGGGGGACCGUAAGGCCUCGCGCGAUUGGAGCGGCCGAUGUCAGAUUAGGUAGUUGGUGGGGUAAAGGCUCACCAAGCCAACGAUCUGUAGCUGGUUUGAGAGGACGACCAGCCACACUGGGACUGAGACACGGCCCAGACUCCUACGGGAGGCAGCAGUGGGGAAUAUUGCACAAUGGGCGAAAGCCUGAUGCAGCAAUGCCGCGUGUGUGAAGAAGGCCUGCGGGUUGUAAAGCACUUUCAGUAGGGAGGAAACAGUAGCCGGUUAAUAUCCGGUUGCCUUGACGUUACCUACAGAAGAAGCACCGGCUAACUCUGUG
rnacentral:rRNA from 1 species